GUGCUCGCUUCGGCAGCACAUAUACUAAAAUUGGAACGAUACAGAGAAGAUUAGCAUGGCCCCUGCACAAGGAUAACACGCAAAUUCGUGGAAGCGUUCCAUAUUUUU
ensembl:snRNA U6 U6 spliceosomal RNA